rfam:Schistosoma haematobium scaffold1059_18, whole genome shotgun sequence.
AUCCAGCUGACCAGUUCGAAAUAGAACGAAACGCACGUCUUGGAU